GCCUUGCUUCCCUGACCUCCUCACACCUCCCUUUUUUGUAUUCCAGUUCAGUUAGUUAAUUCAGCAGUUUCUUUCCCUCUUUAUUUUUGUCUUAAUCCUUUAACUUAAUAUAAUGUAACUUUGAGUUCUCACCUAUUAUUAACCCAUAUUUCAUACACCUUUAAAACAUUGCUGCUUAAACCACUUAACUUCAUUCUGACAUCAUUCUAACAUUCAUUAAUUUUGCAAUAUUUCUGUAAGUAGUCUUUAAAUUUCUUCCAAUCUUCUUCCACCGACUCUUCUCCCUGGUCUCGGAUUCUGCCAGUCAUUUCCGCCAGUUCCAUGUAGUCCAUCACCUUCAUCUGCCAUUCUUCCAGAGUGGGUAGAUCUUGCGUCUUCCAAUACUUUGCAAUAAGUAUUCUUGCUGCUGUUGUGGCGUACAUAAAGAAAGUUCUGUCCUUCUUUGGCACCAUUUGGCCGACCAUGCCCAGGAGAAAGGCCUCUGGUUUCUUCAGAAAGGUAUAUUUAAAUACCCUUUUCAGUUCAUUAUAAAUCAUCUCCCAGAAAGCCUUAAUCCUUGGGCACGUCCACCAAAGGUGACAGAAUGUACCUUCAGUUUCCUUACAUUUCCAACAUUUAUUAUCGGGCAAAUGGUAGAUUUUUGCAAGCUUGACUGGUGUCAUGUACCACCUGUAUAUCAUUUUCAUAAUAUUCUCUCUUAAGGCAUUGCAUGCCGUAAACUUCAUACCUGUGGUCCAUAACUGUUCCCAGUCAGCCAUCAUUAUGUUAUGUCCAACAUCUUGUGCCCAUUUAAUCAUAGCAGAUUUCACCGUUUCAUGAUCUAUAAAAAAUAUUCAGACCUUUGUUGGAGAUGUAAAGCGGAAGUGGGAACAAUGCACCAUAUGUGGUGGGGGUGUAAGGCGAUUAAACAGUUUUGGACCAAGAUACAUGAAGAGUUGAAAAGAAUAUUUAAGAGCACAAUUCUCAAAAAGCCAGAAGCAUAUCUGUUAAGCUUAAUAACCAACGAUAUCCCCAAAGAUAAAAAGAAUAUAUUCCUCUAUGUGACAGCAGCGGCUAGAUUACUAGUGGCAAAAAAUUGGAAAACAGGAAAAAAUACCAGAAUUAUCAGAAUGGUGAAUUAAGAUCUGUGGAUUUAUGGAGAUGGCAAAAUUA